rnacentral:lncRNA from 1 species
AAAAAUAAUAUUUAAAAUAAUAAUAAGGUUGAUCAUAGAAUUAUUUGAAAAACAAGAAAUUUUGCAUAGUCCCAAUAUUCAGAGACAACUUUGUUUUUCAUUUGCUUCUAUCAGGCUAGGGAAAAAGAACAUGCUGGAUCCUUCACAGAUCUUCUUAUGCUAAUCCUCUCUGUGGAGUUCUUGGUGUUGACAUUGGCUAUCAGACUGGCCAACAUGGUGAAACCCCGUUGCUACUAAAAAUACAAAAAAAUUAGCCGGGCGUAGUG